rnacentral:rRNA from 1 species
CAGCCGUAAACUAUGCGCGUUAGGUGUAUCGGUGACCACGAGUUACCGAGGUGCCGAAGGGAAACCGUGAAACGUGCCGCCUGGGAAGUACGGUCGCAAGGCUGAAACUUAAAGGAAUUGGCGGGGGGAGCACAACAACGGGUGGAGCCUGCGGUUUAAUUGGACUCAACGCCGGACAACUCACCGGGAACGACAGCAAUAUGUAGGCCAGGCUGAAGACCUUGCCUGAAUCGCUGAGAGGAGGUGCAUGGCGUAGACGUCU